CAAGAACACGAUUAUCACAAAGAUAAUCAACCAGAAACCUCACAAAGAGAAGAAGGAAGGGUCACACAGACAAAGGAACUCGAAGGUUCCAAACGGCAGAGAGAAAGAAGAAAAAAUAGAAAGUGACGAUCCAAGAGCCAAACAGGGAGUAAGGAGGAUAUUUAUAGUAAAUAUCAUCAACCGUUGAUCAGCGGGUCAAUCCAACGGUCCAAGAGCGACUAAUGGUGUGUGGGCUGGAUAUUGGGCUCGGUUAAGUGGGCCUUCUAGGUAUAUAUUUAAUGGACCAAGUAAUAAAUCCAAUUUGGGCCUUUUCAUCAUUGCCUAACAGUUGGACUGGAUCAAAUGGCAUCACAGCCCAACAAUUCUUGGUAAUGCCCUCACAAUCUCUAACUACAUGUGCUUCUAGUCGAAGGUUAUUAUCAUUAGAUGGUGUUUUUAAUGGCACAAGGAAUUGCACAAAGAGGCCAGCAAAUGGAAAGCAAUCUAUAAAUAAAGCUAACAAAUCUUUGGAAGAUCCAUUAGUAAUCAAGGAUAGAUCUUGUCCAAAUAGAGACAUCCUGUGAAGCUUGAAUCAAUAGUAAGAUGUGUAAAUUCCCUGAAAAUGCAGGUAUUUUCUCAUUGGCAAUGUAGAUUAAACAAAUGUAUAUGUAAAGAAGCAAAAACUGAUUUUGAGUAUGAUGAUAUCUUUGCAGUGUAGAACUGUAGAACAGGAAAAGGAGGGGAGGUCUGGUUCUCAUUUGACAAAAUGUUUGAUGCUGAAAACGAGACAAAUAAAAGUAAACUUAGAUUAUUUAGUUUUAGAAAAAUUAGGUAGAGUUUUUCUAUGGUGUAGAUCUUUUUACCCCCUGAUAGUACAUUUUUACUUAACACGAAGGUUUAGAUUUGGUGCUUCGUGUUUUUCCAACAAUGCACGCUGUGCUGCUAGAAGUCAAAAAUUUCUGCUCCAUGUUAGUGCAAAAGAAGGUCUGGUAAUUAUUUUUUCCUUUUGAUUUUUUUGCCACGAACUUCUGCGUUCAAUGUAACAUAGAUUUUGGCAUUGUAAUAUUUAUUUUAAACUUAUAAUAUCCCUUUUUGCAUUUAUGCAAAUGAUAUUCGGCAAGAAUUAUGGUGGAGGACUUAUUGUAUUUGCACCCAGACGUAUUUUCUAGUGGAGUACUGUAACUAUUCCACAAGGGCCAAUCAGAAUGUCGGUGCCAAUGGUUGCCAUCAGUUCUGUGGAAGAGAUAGGUGGUGGUGGUGGAAAUAAUAAGGAUGAGAAGGAAGGACAAUUUCAAAGAAAACCUAGGAGGAGUUGGUCAUCUAUGCUACAUAGAUAAUUCUUGCUAGCCCUUCAAAAACUUGGUGGUUCACACAGUAUAAUUUAUUAUCAAAUUAACUUUGACUAAGAUACAUGUGACUUCAUUUUUGCAUUGAUUGUUCUGGUUCGUCUUAUUAUACAGUUGCUACACCUAAACAAUUAAGGAUUUGAUGAAGGUUGACGGUCUAACAAAUUUUGAAGUAAAAAGUCAUUUACAGGUUUGUUCGAUCAAAAUAUUUUCCUUGUAAAAAUUCUUUAAAAUUGAAAAUGGCUUGAAUUAGCUAUGGAAGUUUUUUACUUGACGGGUUGCUCUUGCCAAGUGAAUAUCGCUUAUUUUGGAGAUAAUGAAUUGUGUUAUACAAUAAAUUUACGCUCUAAUUAAGAUCUUUGUGCUUUCAUUGCAGAAAUAUAGGCUGCAUGGGUGACGACCAGGUCAUUUUAUUUAUUAUCACAGUAGACAAGCAUCACAGUACCUGGUGGUGGGAGGAGUCUAGGGGCCAUCACCUGAAUAUGAUGCUACAUUGGAUACAAAAACUACAGCCACCACUUGUAAUCAAAUCUAUGGGCCAAUUGCUUUUCGACUACCACCAUUACAAAGGCAGCAGUAUAACCAAUUCCACUCUGAUGACCAAGCUAGUCAUUCUGAUGAUAGAACUCACUCUUGGUCCCUGGCCACCUCCUUCUCUAUGCAUUCAACCACAAUUCACACCCUAUUGAUUUUUCUCCUUGCAUAUUUGAUACAUAGUAAAAGACUACCCUGACAACAUGAUAAGAAAAAGUAUAGUCGUCAUUUUUUCUUGGGAAAUACCACUAUCUAAUUUAACUUACCUUUUUAUUUAUUUAUUUUUAUUUUUUGGAAGGAGAGAGGGGGGGGGGAUGGCUCUAGUCAUUUCGUAUAACCAUUUAGUAAAAUAUAAAGCCAAUGAGACCUUAUGUAUUUUCCAUAUUUAUUGAACUUCCAAUAUUAUGUUUUUUGAAAUUUAUAUGCAUUGGAGAAUGAUAUUAUAGCUCAGUAAGUGUUGUUGGAACUUCCCUGUUUACUGGAUAUUGUAAUAAUAAAUAUCAAUAUAAAGAAUAAACCCCCCUUAAAAUUCCAGCUUGCUAAUUUUAUUAUUUGUGCUAUGUCAACUGGUGGCAGAUUCUACAUUAUUUUUUAAUAGAAAAUAUUUCAUAGGCCUCUACUCUUUUAUCUCAUCUAAUCAAAAGUAGGAACGAGAUGAUAUCCCAUGCAUGCUUCUUGUUUUUGUGUUAAUUAAUCUGGUUUGCACAUUGUUGAAUUUAAUAUUUUCAGGUUAAAUUGUUGGAAUAUAGUGGUGCACCUAUUUAUUUUUUUUAUUGAAUUGAUUUCUUCAUUUAAUUUAUUUUUUUGUAGAUAUCUCAUCUUAUUUCUCCUUAUUUGAACUUACCAUGUUUGUUUUGUAAUAUAUGAUGCUUGGUAAUCUGAAACUUAUGAUUAGUACAUGUGUUUAAUAUUCAUUCUCCAUUGCACUAAAACCUUGCAACCGAGGGAGGCAACAGUGCCAAUAACAUGUAUUCCGUCGAAGAAUCUGAUGUUGGUAUACUUCGCUAUAUCUCUUAGCUUACAGGCUUCCAUGGAAUUCACAGGAAAAGGUAUCUCUUUGGUCUCUCCCUUAAUAUUUGCAUACAUCAAAUAUACUUACGUUAUUUAUCAACCUUAAGACGAUUUUUAGAAAUGUAUCUCAAUUAAUUAUCUUUAAUGUUCGAAUUAUGAACGUGAAUGCAAGGGUAGAAGCAAGUUCUGAUAUUUUAGUACAAAUGAGGAUACCAGGUACUGAAAUAUUCAGCGAG
rnacentral:lncRNA from 1 species